CCUACGGGUGGCAGCAGUGAGGAAUAUUGGUCAAUGGGCGGAAGCCUGAACCAGCCAAGUAGCGUGCGGGAUGAAGGCCCUACGGGUCGUAAACCGCUUUUGCACGGGGAUAACACCCUCCACUUGUGGAGGUCUGCAGGUACCGUGCGAAUAAGGGCCGGCUAAUUCCGUGCCAGCUGCCGCGGUAAUCCGGAAGGCCCGGGCGUUAUCCGGAUUUAUUGGGCGUAAAGGGAGCGUAGGCGGGCGUUCAAGUCAGCGGUAAAAGCGCGCGGCUCAACCGCGCCCCGCAGUUGAAACUGGACGCCUUGAGUGCACAACAGGCAGGCGGAAUUCGUGGUGUAGCGGUGAAAUGCAUAGAUAUCACGAGGAACCCCGAUGGCGAAGGCAGCCUGCCGGGGUGCGACUGACGCUGAGGCUCGAAGGUGCGGGUAUCAAACAGGAUUAGAUACCCGUGUAGUC
rnacentral:rRNA from 1 species